GUAUAAAGUGGCGAACGGCUGAGUAACACGUGGGCAACCUGCCCCUCUCAUUGGGAUAGCCACGGGAAACCGUGGAUAAUACCGAAUACUUCAAGUCUCCCGCAUGGAAGACUCGAGAAAGCUCCGGCGGAGAGGGAUGGGCCCGCGGCCUGUUAGCUUGUUGGUGGGGUAACGGCCUACCAAGGCAAUGAUGGGUAGCUGGGUUGAGAGACCGACCAGCCAGAUUGGGACUGAGACACGGCCCAGACUCCUACGGGAGGCAGCAGUGGGGAAUCUUGCACAAUGGGCGAAAGCCUGAUGCAGCGACGCCGCGUGCGGGAUGAAGGCCUUCGGGUUGUAAACCGCUUUCAGCAGGGACGAGGCGAAAGUGACGGUACCUGCAGAAGAAGCCCCGGCUAACUACGUGCCAGCAGCCGCGGUAAUACGUAGGGGGCAAGCGUUAUCCGGAUUCAUUGGGCGUAAAGCGCUCGUAGGCGGUCUGUUAGGUCGGGAGUUAAAUCCGGGGGCUCAACCCCCGUUCGCUCCCGAUACCGGCAGACUUGAGUUUGGUAGGGGAAGGUGGAAUUCCUAGUGUAGCGGUGGAAUGCGCAGAUAUUAGGAAGAACACCAGUGGCGAAGGCGGCCUUCUGGGCCAUAACUGACGCUGAGGAGCGAAAGCUAGGGGAGCAAACAGGAUUAGAUACCCUGGUAGUCCUAGCCGUAAACGAUGGACACUAGGUGUGGGGGAAUAUUUCUUCCGUGCCGCAGCUAACGCAUUAAGUGUC
rnacentral:rRNA from 1 species